rnacentral:rRNA from 2 species
AACGAACUCUGGUAUUGAUUGGUGCUUGCAUCAUGAUUUACAUUUGAGUGAGUGGCGAACUGGUGAGUAACACGUGGGAAACCUGCCCAGAAGCGGGGGAUAACACCUGGAAACAGAUGCUAAUACCGCAUAACAACUUGGACCGCAUGGUCCGAGCUUGAAAGAUGGCUUCGGCUAUCACUUUUGGAUGGUCCCGCGGCGUAUUAGCUAGAUGGUGAGGUAACGGCUCACCAUGGCAAUGAUACGUAGCCGACCUGAGAGGGUAAUCGGCCACAUUGGGACUGAGACACGGCCCAAACUCCUACGGGAGGCAGCAGUAGGGAAUCUUCCACAAUGGACGAAAGUCUGAUGGAGCAACGCCGCGUGAGUGAAGAAGGGUUUCGGCUCGUAAAACUCUGUUGUUAAAGAAGAACAUAUCUGAGAGUAACUGUUCAGGUAUUGACGGUAUUUAACCAGAAAGCCACGGCUAACUACGUGCCAGCAGCCGCGGUAAUACGUAGGUGGCAAGCGUUGUCCGGAUUUAUUGGGCGUAAAGCGAGCGCAGGCGGUUUUUUAAGUCUGAUGUGAAAGCCUUCGGCUCAACCGAAGAAGUGCAUCGGAAACUGGGAAACUUGAGUGCAGAAGAGGACAGUGGAACUCCAUGUGUAGCGGUGAAAUGCGUAGAUAUAUGGAAGAACACCAGUGGCGAAGGCGGCUGUCUGGUCUGUAACUGACGCUGAGGCUCGAAAGUAUGGGUAGCAAACAGGAUUAGAUACCCUGGUAGUCCAUACCGUAAACGAUGAAUGCUAAGUGUUGGAGGGUUUCCGCCCUUCAGUGCUGCAGCUAACGCA